rnacentral:rRNA from 1 species
CCUACGGGUGGCAGCAGUGGGGAAUAUUGCACAAUGGAGGCAACUCUGAUGCAGCAAUGCCGCGUGAAUGAAGAAGGUUUUCGGCUUGUAAAGUUCUAUCAUCAGGGACGAAGAAGAUGACGGUACCUGAGGAAUAAGCCACGGCCAACUAGGUGCCAGCAGCCGCGGUAAUACAUAGGUGGCCAGCGUUGUCCGGAAUUACUGGGCGUAAAGGGGGCGUAGGCGGUCUGUUAAGUGGGAAGUGAAAUCCCGGGGCUCAACCCCGGGACUGCUUUCAAUACUGACGGACUUGAGUGUAGGAGGGGGAAGCGGAAUUCCUAGUGUAGCGGUGGAAUGCGUAGAUAUUAGGAGGAACACCAGUGGCGAAGGCGGCUUACUGGACUAAAACUGACGCUGAGGCUCGAAAGCGUGGGGAGCAAACAGGAUUAGAUACCCGAGUAGUC